CCACUGUGAUAAACACUUCUGAUGUUGUGUUCCCAACUUUUGAGAUGAAUGAACAUUUGUAUUCUGUAUUUUCUGAUACUGAAUCUUUCACCCAACUGAGGACAUGCACUCUGCCAUCAAACAGCAUAUGAGAUUGCUCAGUGAUGCAUGCCUUCAUCUUCUGUCCAUUCUUCUUCCAGACAAAAUAGGAGUCAUCUGGACCUGUAAAAACGUCAGCUUAUUUUGAUUAAGCAAUAGAAAAAGGACACCGUGAAACUGUUUCAUCUGAAAAAACUUUGAAUCACAUUGGUUAAAUGCAAAUUUUCUAGAACUCUAGAGUGAGAUAAAUUCAGACUCUGAUGUGAUGGAUACAGGAGUAUUUUUUGAAGACAGAUCUAGCAGGAAGAUGACUGGAGAUGGAAAUGAGAUUUUCAUUGCCACCGAGGGAACAAUGCACAUGUCAUGCUGAAGCAGCUCUGCUAAGCAAAUUCUGCUGAAACAGUUAAAAAAAGGUGAGAACUAUGUUCCAAAUCAGGACCCAGUUUAUCAGCCAUAACACUGAGGGAUUAAUUAUUACAAGUCUACAGGUUGUAGCUCUUGUGUGGAAGACAAAAGUGUACAGGUAGUCAGUUUGCAAACUGGGCUGGUGGGGGUAACAGGAAAUUCUGAGGAAGAGAGCAUAAAAUCACAGUUAUGUUCUAGAGACUCCAACACCAGCCCAAACCCAUCACAUCUCACUAGGCAGCACUGGGAAAUCCAGCUUCUCAAUCAUAGCCAGGGUUUAGGAGUUAGUACCAGUGUACUGCUCCAAGCUGAGACAUUACUGAAUCACAGUUGCAUAUUAGCCAGGAGAAAAACAGUUUAAAUAUCUAUGUUGAAUUCAGAAGGAAAAAAGCUAAGCUGGGAGGUCAAGUAAGCAAAUGGUACAUAGAAGCAAAUAACACCAAAGUGAAUCUCUCUCCUGAGAGAAGACACAUGCCAGAAGUCAUUUAGAAAUUACAUUUGGAUCUCAAAAGACUCCGAUGUGAAGCAAACUUCUCCUUUUAUAAUGUAUAUAUAUAUUGUAUGCAUAAUGUUUAGUGUAUGACACUGUGCAAGGUAAGAUUCUAUUCAGCAGAAAAAAAAUGAAGGAAAUCUUUUGAGGAAGAAUUAAUAAGACACUCUUGGUUCUACUUCUCCUCCUUAAUCUCCCCUUUUUUAACUUGAUGUGCCUUAUGUUUAAAUUAUGUUUACAUUGAUCUUAUUCUAGUCCUUACAAGAAAAUAAUAUGGGGGGGGGGGGGGGGGGGGGGGGAAGGUGUUCUUCCUGCACACCUUUCCACGAAUUUCUUAGCUUGACCGUAACCUUUACAUAUAGAACUGCACAGCAAAAGAAAUUUCUACAGAAGUUUUUUUAAAUCUGCUGUUGAUGCCAGAAUUUAAGAAUGCAUCAUCCACCCCAUAAUCCUUACAGAAAUUAAUUUUCAGUUGUCUUACAGAUUUUAGUAUGGAGGAAGCCACCCGAGCCAGGGUAACACCAAAACUUAACAAAGGUGUUUAAUGCUGUCGGUUUUGCAUGCAGAGUUAGAUAUCAGAGUGCCACAGCAAGCCAUGACGUCUGAAAAAAGAAGUGCCAACGUUCAGGUAAGAUAACUGCAGCCCUAAGAUACCGCAAUCUAAAAUAACAAGAAGGAUACUUUUAAUGGCUGUGAUUUUUAUGCAAAAUGGUCUGCAAUACUUAUUUUAUUUUAUAAUCUUAAGUCUUCUAAGUCCUUUUCUGUUAAUGUAUUAAAGGAACAAUCUUAUUUUUUCAACUUAUCUUCUAGAUGCAUCUCAAAUAAUAAAAAACAGGUGGCAUGUCAGAGAUCUGCACAAAGGAAUGGUUUUAUCAUACCAAGAUGCCUUUAAGCGAUGAAUGUUCAGUCAGUGCAGAAAUCACUGAAAGAAGUGGUACAAACUACAAAAUUAAAUGUUUACAGCUACUAUCAGAUUACUGUAGCCAAAGAGGCUGAAACUGAGUCAUAGGCAGACAGCAUGGGAUAAAACUCCAAAGGUCUGCAGAGAAGCUAAUUCAUAAAGCGGGAUAUGGAACUAUUUAACAAGGUACAAAUUUAGCAUUUUCAUGAGGAUAAAGAUAAGCCAACCACAGAUUACUAAGCAACCAUACAGGUUAAAGUCAAAGAGUAUUGCUUCAACAAAGCAUCACCACUUAAAUCUCCAAAUAUACUGCAUAAAAAUUUAAAAAUUAUUUUAGAAAGUUUUAAAAUAUUUGUGCAGUGGUUUGAAUUGUCCUGGGAGAUGCAGAGCUUUUCCUUUCUAGGCUACCAGUUAAACCACUUUCAGGUUUGAAAAACUAAUGAUGUAUCUGUCCACAGGCAUAAUUAUUAAGAAACACUGACGAAGGCAGGAAGAGGAGAUGUUCUGGGCAUUAUUUUAUACAACAGUUCACAGAAAGAAAAAAAAGCUGGAAAACUGCAACUGAUGAUAAGACACAAGUGUAUGUCCACAGAAAAUUGCUAUUUGGUAUUUGUGUUCUUGUAAAAGUAGAAUAAAGUUAACAACCAAAGUAAACUCCCUUUUAAGACACAUUUAAAUGCUGUAAUUUGUAGCCCUAGACAAACAUUUCGUUGUCUGGCACAAAGUACUUUUCCUAUGCAGGCUCAUUCUGCUCCAGGUGCCGCAUACGCCCAUGCCUCUCCUGACUGAGCUCUUAAUGCACUGCACCAGGUCAACCAACCAGAGCACCCCAGGGCACCACGGGUGAUGCAAUUAAUCUAAAAAACCUCACACAAGAAUGACUUAUGAAGCCACUUUCAGAGAGAAAGCUGACUCACUUCUGUCCAUAGGUCAAUCUCUGACAGAUGAGCACCUUCUCCCAGGGGCAAAUCGGGCACACCUUGGGGUGUAAAGGACUUUGGAGCCCUCCUGCUGCAACCCAUGUUGCACAAGCACUUGGAGACACCAGUACAGCCAGCCCCCUAACACAGCCCUGGGCAAAGUCUCUCAGACUCACUCUGCAGGCACUUUGUCUAGUUUUACUCAGUCUGCAGCAGCACUGCGUGAAGUGCAGUGCAUCGCACUUUCCCCACCCUUCUGCACGCCUUUCAGUGCAACUCAAGCUUCACCAAAGAGACAAAAACUGUAGUGAAUCGCUUGCGAUUCUGAUUCUUGCGAGUUACAGAUCUUUUCCCGCAUUCUCGCAUGGAUGUGGGAAGCUUUCUUGCACUCUCUUUAAAAUAGCAUAUCCACAGGGAACAGGCAUUGUAUGUGGGCGUUAUCGGAUACCCAUCUCUGUGUCUCCAUGAAAUAGUAACUCCUUUAAAGUAUAUUGCCGAGUUUGCAGAAUUUUUAUGUUCACACUCCAGGGGUUAUUUUAAUGAGACUAAAAAGUUAAGAAACCAUUAUGGAAAAACUCCAGCUUCAGACAAACUAAGGGAGCAGGUAAGACUUCUGACAUCAUGAACACUGAGAGUCUGAAUGUGCAAGCCAGAAAUACAAAUAAAGCAUAAUGUUUUGCACUGUUUCUGAUUAUAAAUGCAUUUAAAUUGUUGCUCAGCACUCAGAAUAUUCUAGUAUGUCAUUCGUCUGUGAAGUUAAGGUCAAGGAUAUACUACUCUAAGCUGGGGGAAGAAGUGUCAGUAAAACAUCUUUAAGCAGAACUAAAACUGCUAGAAAGAGCCUGUUUCUACCAUACCUAAGUUCAACAGAGCACACCAGAGAAACUAUAAAGCAGGUGUAUACAUCAUCAACUCACUGCCUUUCCCCUGCACCAGAUGGUGUAGUGUUUUGUUCAACUUAUUUGAAGCCUGCUUCAAAUGCCUUUAAAGGGUUUAAAAAUUCUGUAAUGGGAGAGAAAAGUUCUAUUAGAAAAAGUAUAUAGGAAACCUGAAGUCUGCCAGUGCGUUAUCUAGCAGACAGUUUUUCUGAGAAAUGUGAAGAUAUAAGGCUCUUCAGGGGAGUAGAGAGAAAGAGGGAGGAACUUUGUGAAAGGAGAUGUAUGCCUUCCUUUUCAGGAAUGGCUGGAGUACUCCAUUCUUGAAAAAACUCAUUUUCCAGAAAUAAAAAAAAAAAAAAAAACCACCUGUAUGUGACAAGUGGCUGUUUAUGCUGUAUCCACUUUAACUUAACAUUGUUGAAAUCAGCCAGUUACAAGGUUGUAAAAUAUUAUCCUUAGGCAAGCUUUCAGGUUAAAACAUGUGGGAUGAGUAAGAGAUGAGCAAGAGAACUCACCAACUCCUGCUGAGUUUCCAAAGAGCUUGAAACAGGCAUUUACAAUUUAAAAAAGGAAGAGAUUCAGUAGUUCUCAUAAAAAUAACAUUAGAAACUUAAUUAAGAAUAAGCUUCAGGUUUUUGACUGGAUGAUGUGGCAAUCUACGUAUUUGCAUCAUACAUUUGCUGAUACCAUAUCCUUUAGGCAGACCAGGUAUGACAUUUAAUUCUGCCAGUCUCAUUAACCCUCCCGCUCCUUGUGAACACCUCAUAUUUUACCUUAUAUUCAUAGCUGAGGGAAAUAAAGUUCCAUUGCAGCUAUGCUUAUAUACAGAAACAUCAACAGGCACUGAAGGAACGUGAAUAAAUCCAAGUAGAGAGCUUCCUAGUAAAAGCAUUUGCUUAGCCACCCCCCACCCAGGAUAAAUCUAUACAUUCUCACGUGCAGGUCCCAGAAAGAUACAAAAGAUCUAGAUCAGUUUGGUGUGCUGGUUUGCAUAUGUUGGUUGGGGUUUUUUAAAUCAACAGAAUAAAGUUGUAAUUCUGGGUAAGAGAAGGGUGUGAUGUAUCAGCCAAAUGUCUUGUUUCCGAAAGGGAGUAAAAGCCACAUCUGUAACGCGAAGUCCAGUCCUUCACUGCUUUCUGAGAGAAGUUGGAAACAUUUCCACAGCUGGCUCAUCUCACCCCUGCCUGCACCAUCACUGCACCUCUUGGAUGUCUGAUUCCUGUUAUGGUUCCUUCCACUGUUCAUCCCUACCUCCUCAGGAGUGAAUUCCACAUGCUGACUUAGGACACUGCUCCUCCUUUCUUAAGUUCACUGCCAAGGCAAUUACAAUUACUGACAAUUUCAUAAAAGCAGCACAUGAGUAUCAUGUUAAAACAGACAUUGCUGGAUGAAAAAAGUAAUUUUAAAACAAAUCCGAGAUCUGUAGCACGAUUAUCAAACUGUUUAAAUGCUUUGUGCUAUUUAUGCCAUUACUACAAUUUUUUUCAUGACAGACAACAAGAAGUUUCUGAAUUGCCGACAGCAACAGUGAACAAAUUAUUGCUGAAAGCUCUUUUCCAACCUAAAUGACUCUAUGAUUCUAUUCUAUGAAAGAACCCUGAUCCUGCUGUUGGUUCUUUUUAGCCAUGGAAAUACAAAUCAUGCCUUUGUUAAGACCUACUCUAAUAAAGAUUUAUGCAUUUUGAUCUGA